rnacentral:lncRNA from 1 species
UCUUCUCAACUCAUCUCCCAUACCCGCAACAAAAACUUGACCCGACCUAAAAACACCCAUAUCCCUCAAUUCCGACCCGUCGACCCGAACAACAUCCAACAGCCGCGAAUUCCCUUAAACUUUCAACCUUAUUCGAUUUUCAAAUUUGAAAAUCAAAAUGGUAUUUACAUAGUACUAUUUCCAGCUCAUUCCUAUCCCCAUUUUUGGAGUUUUCUCUCAAAAUUCCCAAAACUCCCUUAAUGUUUCCCCCCAUAUUGGUGGAGCAGAAGUUACUCCCCAUUAUUAUUAUCUAUAAAUAGUUCAUUCUUGAGCUAAAAGAAGGGGGACUGGAGGGGUUGAAAAAAAUCUUUGAGCAAAAUCAACCCAUUUUUAGUAAAGAUUUUUUUUUUUAUAUAAAAUUGAUUGGCUAAUUGAAGUUUCUGAGUUGACGGUGAUAUUUUUUUUGUGGUGGUUGAUAUCGACAAAACUCGUAGUCUCAUUUUGCUGCCUUGAAAAAGGUGAACACGCCUCUCCCUUUUGUUUUUGUUUUUAUUACUGAUUUCUUCUUCAUCUCUUUCUCUGUAGCAAUAUUUGUUUAGUUGCAGGCGUGAAUGAGGCUGGGAUUGUUUGCUGUAGAGGCUUUGAUGGCCAUAGCAUUUGCUUGUGAUGACUAUCUUUAUGUCGUUAUUGCUUCGCAUUACUAUUUGUGAUGAUUCUUUAUUCAUUAUUUAGCUUUAUGUUGUUAUGUUAGGCUAUUGUUGUCAUAUAACUCAAAUGAUAGUUUGUUAUGUUUGUG